rnacentral:rRNA from 1 species
AACGAACGCUGGCGGCAUGCCUAACACAUGCAAGUCGAACGAGACCUUCGGGUCUAGUGGCGCACGGGUGCGUAACGCGUGGGAACCUGCCUUUAGGUUCUGAAUAACUCAGAGAAAUUUGAGCUAAUACCGGAUAAUGUCUUCGGACCAAAGAUUUAUCGCCUUUAGAUGGGCCCGCGUUGGAUUAGCUAGUUGGGUGGGGUAAAGGCCUACCAAGGCGACGAUCCAUAGCUGGUCUGAGAGGAUGAUCAGCCACACUGGGACUGAGACACGG